GCAAGUCGUACGAGAAAUCUUCUGCUUGCAGGGGAGAGUAAAGUGGCGUACGGGUGAGUAAUGCGUGGGUAAUCUACCCUCGAGACUGGGAUAACAUAUCGAAAGAUGUGCUAAUACCGGAUGAAGUCGACCGGGCUGCGGCCUGGUGGAUGAAAGGUAGCCUCUACAUGUAAGCUACUGUUUGGGGAUGAGCCUGCGUACCAUUAGCUAGUUGGUAGGGUAACGGCCUACCAAGGCUACGAUGGUUAGCUGGUCUGAGAGGAUGAUCAGCCACACUGGAACUGGAACACGGUCCAGACUCCUACGGGAGGCAGCAGUGAGGAAUUUUGCGCAAUGGGGGGAACCCUGACGCAGCAACGCCGCGUGAGUGAAGAAGGCUUUCGGGUCGUAAAGCUCUGUCGAAUCGGGAAGAAAGUGGGCCAAUUGAACAGGUUGGUUCAUUGACGGUACCGGGGGAGGAAGCACCGGCUAACUCCGUGCCAGCAGCCGCGGUAAUACGGGGGGUGCGAGCGUUAUUCGGAAUUAUUGGGCGUAAAGGGCGCGCAGGCGGUUGAAUAAGUCAGGUGUGAAAGUUCUUGGCUUAACCAAGGAAGUGCAUUUGAUACUAUUUGACUUGAGUAUGGGAGAGGGAAGUGGAAUUCCUGGUGUAGAGGUGAAAUUCGUAGAUAUCAGGAGGAACACCGGUGGCGAAAGCGACUUCCUGGACCAAUACUGACGCUGAGGCGCGAAGGCCCUGGGG
rnacentral:rRNA from 1 species